UACGGAAGGCAGCGGUGGGGAAUAUUGCACAAUGGGCGAAAGCCUGAUGCAGCUAUGCCGCGUGUAUGAAGAAGGCCUUAGGGUUGUAAAGUACUUUCAGUCGUGAGGAAGGUGUUAAGGUUAAUAACCUUAGCAAUUGACGUUAGCGACAGAAGAAGCACCGGCUAACUCCGUGCCAGCAGCCGCGGUAAUACGGAGGGUGCGAGCGUUAAUCGGAAUUACUGGGCGUAAAGGGCACGCAGGCGGUUAAUUAAGUUGGAUGUGAAAUCCCCGGGCUUAACCUGGGAAUGGCAUUCAAGACUGGUUAGCUAGAGUCUUGUAGAGGGGGGUAGAAUUCCAUGUGUAGCGGUGAAAUGCGUAGAGAUGUGGAGGAAUACCGGUGGCGAAGGCGGCCCCUGGACAAAGACUGACGCUCAUGUGCGAAAGCGUGGGGAGCAAACAGGGAUUAGAUACC
rnacentral:rRNA from 1 species